ensembl:misc_RNA Metazoa_SRP Metazoan signal recognition particle RNA
GCUGGGUCUGAUGGCAUGCAUCUGUAGUCCUAGCUACUUGGGAGGCUGAGGUGGGAGGAUUGCUUGAGUCCAGGAGUUCUGGGCUGUUGUGUGCUACGCCGAUUGGGUGUCUGCACUAAUUUCGGCAUCAGUACGGUGACCUUCCGGGAGUGAGGCACCGCCAGGUUGCCUAAGGAGGAGUGAACCAGCCCAGAAACUGAGCAGAUCAAAACUCCAGCGCUGAUCAAUACUGGCAUUGCACCUCUGAGUAGUCUCUGCUCUCUGGCCUGGGCAACAGACAGAGACCGUGUUUCUU